rnacentral:rRNA from 1 species
CAACCGGACGAACGGGUGCGUAACACGUGCAGCAACCUACCGAAAUGAGGGGGAUAGCCGGCCCAACGGCCGGGUAAUACCGCAUACGCUCGAGACCAGGCAUUUGGACUCGAGGAAACCUCCGGGGCAUUUCGAGGGGCUCGCGGCCUAUCAGCUAGUUGGUGAGGUAACGGCUCACCAAGGCGACGACGGGUAGCUGGUCUGAGAGGAUGGCCAGCCACAUUGGGACUGAAAUACGGCCCAGACUCCUACGGGAGGCAGCAGUGGGGAAUAUUGCGCAAUGGGCGAAAGCCUGACGCAGCAACGCCGCGUGGGUGAAGAAGGCCUUCGGGUUGUAAAGCCCUGUCGGAGGGAAAGAAUACUGCGGAUGACCUCCGUAGUUGACGGUACCCUCAAAGGAAGCACUGGCUAACUCCGUGCCAGCAGCCGCGGUAAUACGGAGAGUGCAAGCGUUGUUCGGAAUUAUUGGGCGUAAAGCGCGUGUAGGCGGUCCAACAAGUCUGGCGUGAAAGCCUUGAGCUCAACUCAAGAAGUGCGCUGGAAACUGUCGGACUUGAGUACUGGAGGGGGAGGUGGAAUUCUCGAGUGUAGAGGUGAAAUUCGUAGAUAUUCGGAAGAACAUCAGUGGCGAAGGCGACCUCCUGGACAGAUACUGACGCUGAGACGCGAAAGCGUGGGUAGCAAACAGGAUUAGAUACCCCUGGUAGUCCACGCUGUAAACGAUGGAUGCUAGUUGUCGCGGGUAACCAACCCUGCGGUAACGAAGCUAACGCGAUAAGCAUCCCGCCUGGGGAUUACGGCCGCAAGGCUAAAACUCAAAGGAAUUGACGGGGGCCCGCACAAGCGGUGGAGUAUGUGGUUUAAUUCGACGCAACGCGCAGAACCUUACCCAGGCUUGACAUCCCCGAAACCCGGCCGAAAAGCUGGGGUGCUCGCAAGAGAAUCGGGUGACAGGUGCUGCAUGGCUGUCGUCAGCUCGUGUCGUGAGAUGUUGGGUUAAGUCCCGCAACGAGCGCAACCCUUGUCCUUAGUUGCUAACGAGUCAAGUCGAGAACCCUAAGGAAACUGUCGGUGGUAAACCGGAGGAAGGUGGGGAUGACGUCAAGUCCUCAUGGCCUUUAUGUCCAGGGCUACACACGUGCUACAAUGGGCGGUACAAAGGGUCGCAAACCCGCGAGGGGGAGCCAAUCCCAUAAAACCGUUCUCAGUUCGGAU